rnacentral:rRNA from 1 species
CCUACGGGAGGCAGCAGUGGGGAAUAUUGGACAAUGGGGGCAACCCUGAUCCAGCCAUGCCGCGUGUGUGAAGAAGGCCCUCGGGUUGUAAAGCACUUUCAGUGAGGAAGAACGCCUGGUGGUUAAUACCCAUCAGGAAAGACAUCACUCACAGAAGAAGCACCGGCUAACUCCGUGCCAGCAGCCGCGGUAAUACGGAGGGUGCGAGCGUUAAUCGGAAUUACUGGGCGUAAAGCGCGCGUAGGUGGCUUGAUAAGCCGGUUGUGAAAGCCCCGGGCUCAACCUGGGAACGGCAUCCGGAACUGUCAAGCUAGAGUGCAGGAGAGGAAGGUAGAAUUCCCGGUGUAGCGGUGAAAUGCGUAGAGAUCGGGAGGAAUACCAGUGGCGAAGGCGGCCUUCUGGACUGACACUGACACUGAGGUGCGAAAGCGUGGGUAGCAAACAGGAUUAGAUACCCGGUAGUC